UAAUAUUCCACAUAAAUUUAUUAACCCUCCAUUAGUAGCACUGUUAACUCCUCUUUCUACCAAAAGCAUUUUCAAUUUUUCCCUCUCUUAUUAGUUGAUUAGUAAUUAUAGCUCACUAAUAUUUGAUAAUACUUUCUUGGUAGACUAACAUCAUAUACAUAAAAAGGGAAAAAUGAACCCUAGCAAGCUGCUAGGGCUGAGAGAGCGCUGCCCCCAGGCCUGGCGACUCUGCACCUUCCUCCAUUCUCAAUGGCAGGCUAUUUCGGCAUCAUCUUUGAGGUCGUAUCAAUCGAGUACAGCUGUGGUAGUCUCUCAUCAUCCACUGAGUUUCUCAGAGCGACUGCAGCAGGAGCAGUCUUGUAUCGCGGGCUUGGUUUUGCCAAUCCAAUUGGCUUUCGGUGGGAGAUCUUUUCCUAUUGCGCUUUGCAGGGAGGAGUUUCCGGUCAGAUCCAUAUUUGAAGUGGGUCGAUUACGACCCAAACGUGGGCUACUAAAGACAGUGUCAGGCGGCUGCAUCACCGAGGGGGUAAAAGGCCAGGGUUACCCCUUAUGGAGCGAGACGGCGACUGAAUCUUCUCCGGCGAGGGUUGGAGGCGUUGCAAUUCUGGCAUCGUCUGUGGAUCAACUCGGAGAUGUGCUUUUCCAGUUCAUUCGCUCGAAUGCUCUUCCCAAAUUGCUCUCUUCCAUCAACAUCGGCGGAGCGACGAGUUGUUUCAAGAAGGGACGGCGGUGCUGCUACUCAGAUCGGUGAUGGUUGGGUGCCCAGAUGCUUGGGUGGCCUGAGUAUUUCCAAACGGGCUUACUCCUUCUUAGGUGCCCAGUUGCCUGGGUGCGCAGAGCAGCGCUUCUUGGGCUUGGGCUGUUUUUGCUGCAUCCGUUUCAUUUUUGACUUCAGGCCGGAUUUGGAUCCGCAUUUGGGAUCCGGGUCGUACCUUAAUUCGGAUCUUGGAUCCGAAAUAGCUGCUCAUAUUGUUUUGGUUUUGGUUCUAGUUCUUGAGUUCGUCUGCCAACAUUCUGACACCCUCGGUUGCUUUCGAUCUCAUGGUGAGCGAAUCACCUCUCUUAGGUGGUUUUAUCAUCGGCUACAGUUACGGUUACUCUUCUAUUUGCACUGCUUUAGUGACAUAUGCAGUGCAGUGAUGCCUUAUGGCAUCAAGUCACAUGGUUACCUGGUUACCUUUCAUUCUCGAUGCAAUUGUGCAUCUAGUUAUGUGUUUUUUUUUACUUCAUCAUAGAUGCGGUUGUGCAUCUCGUUAUGUUUUAUUACUUUCUUUCGAUGUUUCAUGCAUCGCUCCAUUUACUCCUCAGUUUCACUUAAUAUAGUUUGUCGUCCUUCUUUCAAAAAAAAAAAGUUGAUUUGUAGUUAUCCUAAUUACUUUCCGUUUUGCAUGUACUAGUACUAUUUAUCUUGCCCUUUUUUUCCUUCUAAUUUUUAAUUAAUUGUUAUCUCAAUCAAGACGGUGAUAGAUCUGUGAUGGGGAGAGAGAGAGGGCAAGAUGAAAAUGUUCUUGGUAAAAAGGAGUUAACGAUGUUGCUAAAUGAGGGUAUUAAAAGUAUGUUAGAGAUUAAUUUUAAGGUUUUAAGGUGCCAAAGUAAUAGUUUUAGAAUGUCGGGAAUCAAAAUGUCGAAUGACCCAAACUUUGAAGACUGUUAGUGACAUUUACUCUUUAAAUUUUACUUUCAAUAAGGAAGAAAUCCGGAACAAAGAAAAAUUAACUACUUGCAAUUUUAUUUAGAUAAGGAGUUUUCUUUGUUAACACUGAACCCUUUUUCAUUUCAGGGAACAAAUGAAAUCGAAGGCAUCAUCAUGGUAAUGUCUCCCGCACAGAUAUAUGAUAAAUCUCCUCCUGUACUUGAACAAGACUUACCAGAGAUACAAUUGAAUGCUGGAAGCUUCUCAGGAUGAAAAAUCUUAAAUGUUUUAAAAACAGAGAUGCUCCCUGUUCUGCAGAGAUGGAAUCGCUCCCCAAUAAUUUAAGGCUUAUUGAUUGGCCUCACUUUCCGUUUAAAGCUUUACCAUUGGAUUUUGAUCCAAAGAAGCUUGUUAAACUCAAUAUGCCUGGCAGCAGCUGCAUGUUACAACUGGGGGGCACAUUCAAGCCAGAGCUGCAGAUAUCUGAAAUAUAUAAACUUAGAAAGCUGCUCAUGCCUACAAGUGGUUCCUAGCUUGUCUGAAUUCCCACAGUUACAGGAGUUGAAUCUUAAAGACUGUACAAGUUUAACUGGGGUUGAUGAUUCUGUUGGACAUCAUAAAAAUCUGGUUGUCUUGAGUCUUGCAGGAUGCCAUAACCUUACUGUGCUUCCAGGAGCAAUUGCCUGGAAAAAUGCGAGAGAGAUAAAUCUUUAUCACUGUAGUAAGCUGAAAACUUUUCCGGAUAUUUUGGAAGAGAUGGAAUCCGUAACGUGCCUGGAAUUAUUCAAAACUGCAAUCACAGAUUGCCUACAUCAAUUCCAUAUCUCAUUGGACUUAAAUAUUUGAAGUUGAGAGAUUGUGAGAACCUUGUGUAUCUGCCACCUAGUAUGUAUGAGCUGCAUCAUUUAGAUGAACUUGAUCUGGAUAAUUGCUCAGAACUUGUUACAUUUCCAAGGUGGAAUGCAGAAUCACAUCAAACUAACUUGCGGCAAUUUCAUUGUACAGAACUACAGAUGUUAGAGACUAUGUGACAAACUUCCUCAUGACGUGGCAGGCAAUGAGGGUACUCUUCGCUUUCUGAUUCACUCUUCUAAGCAGCCUGAAUUCCAUUUGGUAUUUCCACGCAGAGAAGUUCCAAGGUGAUUUAAAUGUCGCAACAAAUUAACGGAGCUUGUUGAUAAAUCAUGAGUUUUCUUUUAAUGUUCCUCUAGAUAUCAGAUCGGGGAACAAAGGAUUGGCCAUCUGUGCUGCUGCUACUGCUGUAGAUGAUUCUGGUGAGUGCUCAAUUGCAGCCAAUGUUUGUAUCAGUGAACAUAUAAUCCCUACAAUCUCGUUCUGUUUUGAAGCAAAAGAGAUGGGGCGCUCUGGUCAUCGGCCGCCUUUUUCCUGUCGGGUUAGUUUGGAACAUACUAGCCAACCUUCAGUUCGAUAUACAAGUUAUGGGGUCGACUUGGUAAUGAGGGUACCCUCUGCUCUCUGAUUCAUCUUCUAAGCUUCAAAGACUGAAUUCCGCAUUGUAUUUCCAGGAAGUUAAGUUUCAAGUUUGUUCAGGCAUGUAAAGUACUUAAUGGAGCUUGUUGAUAACUUGAAUUUUGUCUUGAAAUUCCUCUGAAAUUCAACAAAUGUUCGGUUAUUUGUGCUUCAGCUACUGCUGCAGGCAAUUUUGGUCAGUGCUCUUUCACAGCUAAAAUUCACAUCAGUGCAGAAAGCAGCAGUGCACAUUCGGUUCUGUUUGGAAGCAAGCUAGGUGCGGAGGUGGAGUACUCUGCUGAUUUGUGACUUGGAAGAUGAGCACUUCAGUUGUGUGUGCUGGAGCUCACUCUUGUCUUUCCGUUUUCCCUGUGUUGGGGGCAUAUUGUAUUUUGACAUUGUGCGUAUUUCUAGAUCAAUAGCUUUGUUCUUUUUGGGUUAGUUCAGCAAGCCUUCCUACUCCAGAGCAUAUAUAAUGGCAAAAUUGUAACAUAUAUUAUUUGAAAGGAGCAAAAGUUGGGGUUAUGCAA